rnacentral:lncRNA from 1 species
CAGGAUCGAAUGUCACAUCUUUACUACAUAACAGGAGUUUUAUACAAAAUAAAUAAUUACAUUAUAAGGAGACGACGGUCCAGCAACCCAAAGUUGACUGGGAGACGACGACCUAGACCUCUCACGAACUCGCCACAGCAUCCUCCAUGCGCCUCAUCCUGUGGUACCUGUUCUUGACCUGUGGGGGUGUGAGACAGCAAGAGUGAGCUCACAUACGUUCAUCGCUCAACAAGUUGUGGGGAAUAAUGUGCAUGAACUCGCCAAAGGUGGGAGCUCACGUGAAGUGUAAGGCUUACCAAAGAGGAUGGUUAGAGCUGAGCAUUGCUUUUAAAGUUGGUCAAAAUUUUAUUAGCAAUUACUAAGUAUAAGUAAAUACCAACCCAAUUAAGUAGUAGAACAAAAGUAACAACAUCACCUGCGAUGCAAUGCAUAUGACAAAUUGAGUUUAAGUUCCAUAAUUUAAUCAUGUGAGUGUCCGAGCCGCUCAUGACCGUGAGCACGGCUAGUAUACCAGUUUUACACUCUGCAGAGGUUGCGCAUCUUUACCCACAAGUCAUGUUACCCAUCUGCCAAGGGAUCGCGACUUCCCAUACACCUCUACCGAGGAGGCGAGGCAGGGUAACACUACGAGGCCUUUACAAAGUUCCACUAGCUUCAGAAAACCCGCUACAGUUUAUAGGAAGCUCCAAUGCAGGAAUCCCUUGCAGGACCGCCAUCACAGCAAAAUCCUCCCGAGGGCCUCCCCAGGAAUCCCUUGCAGGACCGCCAUCACAGCAAAAUCCUCCCGAGGGCCUUCCCAGGAAUCCCUUGCAGGACCGCCAUCACAGCAAAAUCCUCCCGAGGGCCUCCCUACACUGACCACUCCCCUACUGCCCUUGCCCCUUUCGGGUAAGGUAGUCUUCCACUAGCUUUCCUAAUUAAUCGGCCAAGGGCGUCCCAUUAAACCCUUGUGGUAGCACUGUUUUCCCGGGUGGUUCUCCAUGUUCCAAUUAACAUAAUGAUCUUAUCAUGAACAGUGAUAAUAAACAGAUAAUAAAAGUGUGAUCAUGAGUAAUGUAUCUUCAUACCCAAAACCACAUAAAGCACUAGCAAGUACUACCCAAAAAGUUCAGUGGUAAACAAGGUAUAAAGAUAGACAAACUAGGGUAACCUAUUGGGUCCCAUCAAAUUAACCUAUGCAGAUCAUUAUGAUUAAUUAGAACAUGAGUGGGUAAAAAGAAGUGAUCAAGGGCACAACUUGCCUGAGACUUGAGAUUCCAGGUACCAGGGUGAUUUUCAGAUUCUCGUGACCUCACUGCUAGUCGUAGCAAUACAGACAAACAUUGUAUAGGCAAAAUUAACAUUACAUCAAACAUAUAUGCAAAAAACACAGUAAUAAUCUACACAUUAAAAUAAAAUUCUAGGAACAGAAAUCAUAAUUUUUGGACUUAUAGAUUUUAAGUUAUGCAUUUUCAAAUGUUUUAUGUGUUUAAAAUGGGAUUAAGUAAGGAAUUAAAUUUAUUACUGUUUUCAUGACAAAACAGAGGCUCAAAGUGAUAGAGAAUAAAAUUAUAAAAUUUUAGGAACUGGAAUGGAGUAAUUUGGACUAAAAAUGGAUUUUCUAUGAAUUUUACAAGUUUCUAGAUUUGUUUUUGUAUUAAAAAUGAAUUUCUAAUAUUAUUUCUCUGUUUUUUAAAUAUGUCUGGACUGGGCCUCAAUUCCCAGAAAAGCCAGGGGCUACGGUGUAAGUGUUUCUAAGACUCAGAGAACCCCAGGCAUGGACGGCGGGUUGAUAUAUAUAAAAGACAGGGUCUCUUUUAUAAAAUGCACCCGCGAAGGGGUAUCGACCAACACGGGCCACCCGAUCGAGUCUGGACGGACGAGAUUAGAUCCCCAUCGAAUCAAACGGGUACGCAACGCUGAUCCUCGGAUCUAGAUCUAACGGCUCUGGUCUAAAAUAAGCGCGCCCUGAUCGCACCCGUCCGAGACCAGUCGAACGGCCCAGAUGGCUUCAGCGAAAGGGUACGCUCAAUUCUAAUCAUCCCCGUCCAACUCCCAUCCGACGGCGCAGGUGUAUCUUCCUCCCUCGGCCGCCUGCGGCUGCGCCGCCCCCAAAUGCCCACCGGAGUCCCGCCGCGGCAAGCGAUUUCCGCGACCCGGCCUACUACUACGACCCCCGGAUUAUAAAAACGACUGCGGUUAUGGCGAGGAAGGUAAUAGGUUAGGUCGUACCGGUCGAUCUGGCGCCCAAAACAGCCGGCCACGGCCGACCACAAUUUCCGCCGCGAAAAACACUCCGGCGACGAAUUAGCUGGAUUCUGGAGAACGCCACACCUGGCGGCAAGCCUGAAGACGACCCGCGUGCUCCCGCGAACCUCAAUUGCGACUACUCCGAGCCAGGAUGACGGCGUUCCGAGGAAACGACGCGGCGGCGGCAACCUUCUUCUUUUCUCCCCUGCUCUCCCUUUGUUUCUGCGCGCCGUUGUUUGGGGAGGAGCGGCUCCACUUUUAUACCCCGAGGAGCAUGGCCGGAGGAAUCGGAGUCCGAGCCGGGGUGAGCAGCGAGAUCCGCGGAGGUGGUUGAGCUCGCGCCCACGGAGUCCGCGGCGACGGACUCACGCACGGUGCGCGCGUUGCGCGGGCUGUUUGCGCACGAACGGGAUGACUGGUGGGGCCAUGGGCGCAGUGACACUUCAAUCCCGCACCCACGUGAGCAACGACUGACGAGCGGCCCCAAAUGCAAGCGAAAACAGGCAGCCCCCCAGAGACUGUCGUCACG